GAAUUCACUAGUGAUUGUGGCAGGGGCGGCGGUAAUACGGGGGAUGCAAGCGUUAUCCGGAAUUAUUGGGCGUAAAGCGUCCGUAGGUGGCUAGAUAAGUCUGCUGUCAAAGCGUGCGGCUCAACCGCAUCCGGGCAGUGGAAACUAUCCAGCUAGAGUGCGAUAGGGGUUACAGGAAUUCCCAGUGUAGCGGUGAAAUGCGUAGAUAUUGGGAAGAACACCAGCGGCGAAAGCGUGUGACUGGGUCUGCACUGACACUGAGGGACGAAAGCUAGGGGAGCGAAAGGGAUUAGAUACCCCUGUAGUCCUAGCCGUAAACGAUGACAACUAGGUGUGGUUCGUAUCGACCCGAGCCGUGCCGUAGCCAACGCGUUAAGUUGUCCGCCUGGGGAGUACGCACGCAAGUGUGAAACUCAAAGGAAUUGACGGGGGCCCGCACAAGCGGUGGAGUAUGUGGUUUAAUUCGAUGCAACGCGAAGAACCUUACCAAGGCUUGACAUCCUGCGAACUUUUCUGAAAGGAGAAGGUGCCUUCGGGAGCGCAGAGACAGGUGGUGCAUGGCUGUCGUCAGCUCGUGUCGUGAGAUGUUGGGUUAAGUCCCGCAACGAGCGCAACCCACGUUUUUAGUUGCCAUCAGGUGAAGCUGGGCACUCUAGAGAGACUGCCGGUGACAAACCGGAGGAAGGUGUGGAUGACGUCAAGUCAGCAUGCCCCUUACGCCUUGGGCUACACACGUACUACAAUGCGUUGGACAAAGGGUUGCAAGUCAGCGAUGGCAAGCCAAUCCCAUAAACCAACGCUCAGUUCAGAUUGCAGGCUGCAACUCGCCUGCAUGAAGGCGGAAUCGCUAGUAAUCGCAGGUCAGCAUACUGCGGUGAAUACGUUCCCGGGCCUUGUACACACCGCCCGUCACACCAUGGGAGUUGGUCAUGCCCGAAGUCGUUACUCUAACUGCAUGCAGAGGAGGACGCCGAAGGUGGGGCUGAUGACUGGGGUGAAGUCGUAACAAGGUAACCAAUCGAAUUCCCGCGGCCGCCAUGGCGGC
rnacentral:rRNA from 1 species